rnacentral:rRNA from 1 species
GUGGGGAAUAUUGGACAAUGGGGGCAACCCUGAUCCAGCAAUGCCGCGUGAGUGAUGAAGGCCUUCGGGUUGUAAAGCUCUUUUGCCAGGGACGAUGAUGACGGUACCUGGAGAAUAAGCCCCGGCUAACUUCGUGCCAGCAGCCGCGGUAAUACGAAGGGGGCAAGCGUUGUUCGGAAUUACUGGGCGUAAAGGGCGCGUAGGCGGCUCUAUCAGUCAGGCGUGAAAUUCCCGGGCUCAACCCGGGGACUGCGCUUGAUACUGUAGGGCUUGAAUUCGGGAGAGGAUGGUGGAAUUCCCAGUGUAGAGGUGAAAUUCGUAGAUAUUGGGAAGAACACCGGUGGCGAAGGCGGCCAUCUGGUCCGAGAUUGACGCUGAGGCGCGAAAGCGUGGGGAGCAAACAGGAUUAGAAACCCCAGUAGUCC